rnacentral:rRNA from 1 species
UGGGGAAUAUUGCACAAUGGGCGAAAGCCUGAUGCAGCGACGCCGCGUGAGGGAUGACGGCCUUCGGGUUGUAAACCUCUUUCAGCAGGGAAGAAGCGAAAGUGACGGUACCUGCAGAAGAAGCGCCGGCUAACUACGUGCCAGCAGCCGCGGUAAUACGUAGGGCGCAAGCGUUGUCCGGAAUUAUUGGGCGUAAAGAGCUCGUAGGCGGUUAGUCGCGUCUGCUGUGAAAACUCGAGGCUCAACCUCGGGCUUGCAGUGGGUACGGGCUGACUAGAGUGCGGUAGGGGUGACUGGAAUUCCUGGUGUAGCGGUGGAAUGCGCAGAUAUCAGGAGGAACACCGAUGGCGAAGGCAGGUCACUGGGCCGCAACUGACGCUGAGGAGCGAAAGCAUGGGGAGCGAACAGGAUUAGAUACCCUGGUAGUCCAUGCCGUAAACGUUGGGCACUAGGUGUGGGUCCAUUCCACGGAUUCCGUGCCGCAGCAAACGCAUUAAGUGCCCCGCCUGGGGAGUACGGCCGCAAGGCUAAAACUCAAAGGAAUUGAC